rnacentral:rRNA from 1 species
GCCAACACACUAACUCACAACGUCAAACCUAAAGAAAACCCCCACACUAUCCAGUACCACUCAAAACCCCUCACCUUUAAAUACCCGUAAGGGUAACCAUUCAGCAUAAAACAGAAAAGCUAACCCCUCAUCCCUUUUGCAUCAUGGAGAAGCAACACAAAUUUAACAACACUAAACUCCCGAACAACUAUGAGCUACUAAACCUUAAAAAUCAAUGUAUCACAAUUGAUAGAGUAACUUUUAGUAGGAGUAACAAGCCUUUCAUAUAGUUAGAUAGCUGGCUUUCCAUUAAAAAGCAUCAAAGUGCUGCCCUAUAGAAAACACUAUGCCUAAGCCCCUAUAGGUGCUAGUCUUCUGAGGAUUAGCUCAGAAGAAGGAUAAAAAUAUAGAAAUCAAACCACUUUAAAAGUAGGCCCAAAAACAGCCAACAAAUAGCGUUCUAGUUAAUAGCCACGCACUUAUAGUAAUAUCAAAGUCUAAAUUUUUCUCACUAAAGGAACCUAGCGCAACACACAACUCGCUAAUGUACCGGCAUUCUAUUAGUAUUCAACAACCAGUUUUCCACAAAACUUAAAAGAACUGAAACCAAAACCCAAAUAUAAACGAAUCUAUAUAAAGCGAACUCGGCAAUAAUGUUCUCUGCCUGUUUACCAAAAACAUCGUCUUCUGAUCACAGACAUAGAAGAUAAUGCCUGCCCAGUGAAACUUUAAACGGCCGCGUUAGCGUGAGCGUGCUAAGGUAGCGUAAUAAAUAGCCCCUUAAUUGGGGGCCAGUGAAAGGCAAGACUAGGAACACCUGUGCUUUUUAUAUUAAAAAAACUUUUCAUCUAAGUGAAAAGACUUAGAUACCAGAGGAAGACGAAAAGACCCCGCGGAACUUUACCAUCUAAAACACUGCCGCCCAGAAGCACAAAAGUGUAAUAGGUUUGAUUGGGGCAAUCUCGGAACCACCUAAGCUUCCGACCAUCACUUAUAACGCAUCCAAAAUUUGAUGUAGGCAAUAAAGCAGUUACCCCGGGGAUAACAGCGUCAUCCAACUUAAGAGUACACAUCGAAAGUUGGGUUUGCGACCUCGAUGUUGGCUUAAGGUCAUCCACAUUAGUGCAACCGCUAUGGGAGGACAGUCUGUUCGACUUUUAUACCCUUACACGAGCUGAGUUAAGACCGGCGCAAGCUAGGUUGGUUUCUAUCUCCUCUAUUAACAUUCUCCUUGAUUGUACGAAAGGACCCCAAGGGGUGCACUCAACCUAAGCACAAAAUAAACUAUCCCUCACUAACUUUAAUAGCACCUUA